UUGUAUCAUUAUUCGGGUAAAUGAGUCAAGAAUUUUAACUCUAAACUAACACGGAAAAAAAUCAUGUCAACCGGACCCAACCCAUUUAAUAAUUGUAUCAAAUUUAACGAUUCAAACCCAUUUAUUUGUGUUGUAUUUGUAUCGAGUAAUAGGAUCCUGUCAAAUUUUGCCAGCUCUAGUGAGGAAUAUUUAUUAUCUUGCUAUGGCUAAGAAUUAAUAUUAAGUAGUGUUCUGUUUUCAUAGAAUGUUGACACAACAAUAGAGGUUAAAUAACAAAUCUAAUGCAAACCUUUCUUGGUCGAGUGCUGGGAAUAAUCUUAGAUUCACAAUUUAAGUUCCUCACCUGCCUAUGGUUUAUGAUAAUUUAAUUCAAAAUAUUAGUAGAUCCCGCCUAUUCUAGGCUCAGUAGAUAUUCAAAUCAUGCCACCAUAUAUAAUCAGAAUAUACAAUUUAUUCUUUCAACUCUUUGAUUUUGAUUUUUCUACUUUCGGAGCUUUUUCAUUGCCAUAUGUGCCAUUGUAUAUCAUCAUCAAUUUUUUUUUUUUGAUAAAACUUUAUUACAUCUUAAUAUGUUUAUAAAUUGGCUUUUUAAUUAUGAGAAAGUCGUUAAUUCCUAUAAUUUUUGAGUAUUGCUUUUUAUCCAUUCACUCUUUGCGAUGAGCAUUAUGAUUAUAUUAGUUAAAAAUUAAAUUAAGCUCCUUAUCAAAAGGUUCAUUGACACUUUCCCCCUUGAGUUAAGCCUACGAAACUUUGUUUAUCCAUCAAAUAACUGUUAAUUAAAUAGAGGAAAUAAAUUAAUUGGAGCAAAAACAUUACUGUGAAAAUCCUAAAUUGAUUU
rnacentral:lncRNA from 1 species